GGCCAGAUAGCUCAGUCGGUAGAGCACCUGACUGAGAUUAAGGGGGCCUGCGUUCAAAUCCCAGUCUUGUCU